rnacentral:rRNA from 1 species
AUUGAACGCUGGCGGCAGGCCUAACACAUGCAAGUCGAGCGAGCGGCGGACGGGUGAGUAAUGUCUGGGAAACUGCCUCAUGGAGGUGGAUAACUACUGGAACCGGUAGCUAAUACCGCAUACCAUCAGCUUUGCCCAGAUGGGAUUAGCUAGUAGGUGGGGUAACGGCUCACCUAGGCGACGAUCCCUAGCUGGUCUGAGAGGAUGACCGGCCACACGGGAACUGAGACACGGUCCAGACUCCUACGGGAGGCAGCAGUGGGGAAUAUUGCACAAUGGGCGCAAGCCUGAUGCAGCCAUGCCGCGUGUGGGAAGAAGGCCUUCGGGUUGUAAAGCACUUUCAGCGGGGAGGCGUUACCCGCAGAAGAAGCACCGGCUAACUCCGUGCCAGCAGCCGCGGUAAUUC